GCCUUCGUGGUGUAGUGGUCAGCACGCUCGUUGCGUAACCGAGAGGUCAGUGGUUCGACUCCCGGCGAAGGCG
rfam:Stegodyphus mimosarum contig21100, whole genome shotgun sequence.